UACAGAGGGGGCAAGCGUUGUUCGGAAUUACUGGGCGUAAAGGGUGCGCAGGCGGAUAUGUAAGUCAGGGGUGAAAUCUUUGGGCUUAACCCGAAAAUUGCCAUUGAUACUAUAUAUCUUGAAUGCUGUGGAGGUAAGCGGAAUAUGUCAUGUAGCGGUGAAAUGCUUAGAUAUGACAUAGAACACCUAGUGCGAAGGCAGCUUACUACGCAGAGAUUGACGCUCAUGCACGAAAGCGUGGGGAUCAAACAGG
rnacentral:rRNA from 1 species